UCGCGAAUGCCUCUAGAUUAGNUUUGAUCAUGGCUCAGAUUGAACGCUGGCGGCAGGCCUAACACAUGCAAGUCGGGCGGUAGCACAGAGAGCUUGCUCUCGGGUGACGAGCGGCGGACGGGUGAGUAAUGUCUGGGAAACUGCCUGAUGGAGGGGGAUAACUACUGGAAACGGUAGCUAAUACCGCAUAACGUCGCAAGACCAAAGAGGGGGACCUUCGGGCCUCUUGCCAUCAGAUGUGCCCAGAUGGGAUUAGCUAGUAGGUGGGGUAACGGCUCACCUAGGCGACGAUCCCUAGCUGGUCUGAGAGGAUGACCAGCCACACUGGAACUGAGACACGGUCCAGACUCCUACGGGAGGCAGCAGUGGGGAAUAUUGCACAAUGGGCGCAAGCCUGAUGCAGCCAUGCCGCGUGUAUGAAGAAGGCCUUCGGGAUUAGUAAAGUACUAUUCAGCGGGGAGGAAUGGUGUUAGACGGUUAAUAACCUCAGCAAUUAGACGUUACCCGCAGAAGAAGCACCGNGCU
rnacentral:rRNA from 1 species